rnacentral:snRNA from 1 species
GGCUGUGUGAAUCACCUGGUUGUGACAUUUGUCACCCCACUGAUCACUAAAGUUUAGAUGUGGUAAGGUGAGCCCUUCUUCUCCCUUACUGUACCAUAUGCAUCCCUUCUGAAAAGGCAUGAUAGGUCAGAGAGGACAGCUUUUUUUUAAAAAAAAAAAAGACAGAUGAUAUUCUAUUCAGGGAAUCAGAGUACAUGUGUUGACAGUCUAAUCUCCAAAUCAGCUCUUAAGGUACAUUUGUAAUAGAAUUUAGGCUAAUUAUGCUUCCAUAGUGAUAAACUCAUUUAACUGUGUGGUAUUGCAUGUGGUAACCUGCUUUUAUU